GACGAACGCUGGCGGCGUGCUUAACACAUGCAAGUCGAACGAAGUGGCGAACGGGUGAGUAACGCGUAAUCAACCUGCCCUUCAGAGGGGGACAACAGUUGGAAACGACUGCUAAUACCGCAUACUGAAGGAGGGGAUUGCGUCUGAUUAGCUAGUUGGGGGGGUAACGGCCCACCAAGGCGAUGAUAAGUAGCCGGUCUGAGAGGUGGACAGGCCACAUUGGGACUGAGACACGGCCCAGACUCCUACGGGAGGAAGCAGUGGGGAAUCUUCCGCAAUGGACGAAAGUUUGACGGAGCAACGCCGCGGGAGUGAUGACGGGCGUCGGGUUGUAAAGCUCUGUUAAUCGGGACGCGGUACCGGAAUAGAAAGCCACGGCUAACUACGUGCCAGCAGCCGCGGUAAUAC
rnacentral:rRNA from 1 species